rnacentral:rRNA from 1 species
UUGGGCAUGGGGGAAACCCUGACCCAGCAAUGCCGCGUGAGUGAAGAAGGCCUUCGGGUUGUAAAGCUCUGUCCUUGGGGAAGAAGAUGACGGUACCCAAGAAGAAAGCCACGGCUAACUACGUGCCAGCAGCCGCGGUAAUACGUAGGUGGCGAGCGUUGUCCGGAAUUACUGGGCGUAAAGGGCGAGUAGGCGGAUAUACAAGUCAGAUGUGAAAGGUUAGGGCUCAACCUUAACAUUGCAUUUGAAACUGUAUAUCUUGAGUGCAGGAGAGGAAAGUGGAAUUCCCAGUGUAGCGGUGAAAUGCGUAGAUAUUGGGAGGAACACCAGUGGCGAAGGCGACUUUCUGGCCUGUAACUGACGCUGAGGCGCGAAAGCGUGGGGAGCAAACAGGAUUAGAUACCCUGGUAGUCCACGCCGUAAACGAUGGAUGCUAGGUGUGGGAGGUAUCGACCCCUUCCGUGCCGUAGUUAACGCAAUAAGCAUCCCGCCUGGGGAGUACGGCCGCAAGGCUGAAACUCAAAGGAAUUGACGGGGGCCCGCACAAGCAGCGGAGCGUGUGGUUUAAUUCGAAGCAACGCGAAGAACCUUACCAAGGCUUGACAUCCCUUGCAAUCUGUAGAGAUACAGAGUUCCCUUCGGGGACGAGGAGACAGGUGGUGCACGGUUGUCGUCAGCUCGUGUCGUGAGAUGUUGGGUUAAGUCCCGCAACGAGCGCAACCCUUGUCCUUAGUUGCCAUCAUUAAGUUGGGCACUCUAGGGAGACUGCCGGUGACAAACCGGAGGAAGGUGGGGAUGACGUCAAAUCAUCAUGCCCCUUAUGUCUUGGGCUACACACGCGCUACAAUGGCCUGUACAAAGGGCGGCAAAGCCGCGAGGUGGAGCAAAUCCCAUAAAACAGGUCCCAGUUCAGAUUGCAGGCUGCAACUCGCCUGCAUGAAGUCGGAGUUGCUAGUAAUCGUGGAUCAGCACGCCACGGGAAGCUUCCCGC